UUAAAAUAAAUAAAUAAAAAUUAAAAAUUUAACAUUUUUCAUAAAUCAAAACUGACAAAAAAUAAAAGAAAAAUAACAACUCUGUAUGUGUCAGGGGGCAUUACUCGGGCACCGAUAAAAACUUGCAAUCACAAGGGAACAAGUUAGUGUCUUGAAUCUUGGUAUAUUGCAUGUAUCAAGAUUCCUGAAAGCAGAACUUUCAUAUAGAUAUAAAGGGUAGGAAUCUUUUUAAUUUUUUCUGUACAUGCCCAAUUUAUGAGAUCAGCAUGUGUGUUUUCCCAAGAUCCCCAUUUGGCAAUACCAUAAUUGGGAAAUGGCAUUUGCACGCACAUAAACAUGCAAACGUGCUCAUUGAAUGUCUUCUUAAUUUACAUGAUAUUACCAUUAAGUAUUAUGAGUUUCUGAAUAAUAAACCCAUUAAUUACUAUUUACUACUGCCUUCAAAUAACCAUUAGCAUAUACCUCAACCAAGUCAAAUGCGAUUAAAAAAAAGUAUAUUGAGAAGAUCUAGCUGUCCACUCUUAGAUCAUGAAUAGAUGCAAACCAAUUAAUGAUCAGAUGUAUUCUGAUACACUUAAACCACGGUCAAAUCUGAGUUGAAAAGUAUAUAAAGAUAAUCAUCUCAAGAUAAAUGUCCAACACAUCAUUUUCCUUUCAUAGUGUCAAGAGAUCCCCCAAUAUGAGCAAUAAAUAAAUGUCCAAACUUAGCAAGUCAUGAAGGAUAAUUUAGAUAAAGCAAAACAGGAAUUCUGUAACAUUACCUUCCGAU
rnacentral:misc_RNA from 1 species